AUAUAUAUAUUUAGGAAAAUCUUAAGAGAACGAUUGCUCUGAUACCAAUCUGUCACGCCCCCAAACCGAGACCGUUAUUAUAUGGAAAUAUGGUGCCCGAAUUUGCGACAUGAGUUGAAACAAAUAAAAUUUUCUCAAAUAAUUUAUUCGAAGAAGAAAUAUAUAUGUCUGAAUAAUACUUUUAUUAGAAAGGGAAAGCAUUAAUAAUUUACAAUACCAAAUAUUUUACAAUACGAAAGUUUUAGCAAGAGUAUAUAAAACAUUACAUUUAUUCUCAAAAUAGCAACAGAAAACAUUCUUUUAUUUAGUAGGUUCAUCCCAUUCCCCAAGCAUCUAUUCGUUACCUGAAAACAAUAAUGUGUAGCAUCAUGAGUAACACAGACCCAGUAAGUACAACUUACAUUCUUAUAAUAAUGUGUCUUAUAAGAAACCAGAAAUAAACACAACUAAGUAAAAAUGUACCAAGAAUCAUUUUGAUUUGUUCAUACUGAUUCUUAUUUAUGCGCACACACACACACACACACACAUAUACAAGCGUGAAUAAAUUUAUCCAUGUGAAUGUUUAGGAAACUGGUAAUAAAUCACAAAGAUCACAUGUUAGGUCCACUAUACCAAAGCACGGAUAAGCCGCAGCAUACCAAGGACAAUACCAGAGUAUGUAUACUCAAGGUCGACACUUUCUUCCUAUGAGUAUAAUAGUGCACUAUCUGUAGGGACUAGGGCCCAGGCUAACUCCACAAAUCACAAAACACUUUUACCAGUAAUUCACUUAAGCACGGGGUAGUACUAAUCACCCGGCUUCACAUCUCCAAAUAUAAUUACGUCAAUAAAAUAUAGCAAACUUUAGUAAGUAAGACAAUUACUUCAAGACCAAUAAAGUAUAUAUAUAAGCGUUCAUCAAUAUACUUUAAAAAUGGUCAGUAACUUAAGGUAUGCACAAGAUAAGCAAUUUAAUAAACUUGAAAGUAAAAGUGCAAUAAAGUAAAUGUACUUUAAAUA
rnacentral:lncRNA from 1 species